CGGACGGGUGAGUAACACGUGAGUUACCUGCCCCGAAGUGGGGGAUAGCCUUCCGAAAGGGAGAUUAAUACCCCAUGUGAUCGCAAGAUUAAAGGCGGCCAUCUUUGAUGGCUGUCGCUUCGGGAUGGGCUCGCGGCCUAUCAGCUAGUUGGUGAGGUAACUGCUUACCAAGGCGAUGACGGGUAGCUGGUCUGAGAGGACGACCAGUCACACUGGAACUGAGACACGGUCCAGACACCUACGGGUGGCAGCAGUCGAGAAUCAUUCGCAAUGGGCGAAAGCCUGACGGUGCGACGCCGCGUGGAGGAUGAAGGCCCUAGGGUCGUAAACUCCUGUCAUCAGGGAGUAAUGGCUCACGUAGUAACUGCCGUGAGCAGUGAUAGUACCUGAAGAGGAAGGGACGGCAAACUUCGUGCCAGCAGCCGCGGUAAUACGAAGGUCUCAAGCGUUGUUCGGAUUUACUGGGCGUAAAGCGUCUGUAGGCGGAGUGGUAAGUCAGAUGUGAAAUCCCGGGGCUCAACCCCGGAACUGCAUCCGAUACUGCCACCCUAGAGGGUCGGAGGGGAGUCUGGAAUUCUCGGUGUAGCAGUGAAAUGCGUAGAUAUCGAGAGGAACACUAGUGGCGAAGGCGAGACUCUGGACGACACCUGACGCUGAGAGACGAAGGCCAGGGUAGCGAAAAGGAUUAGAUACCCUUGUAGUCCUGGCAGUAAACGGUGCACGC
rnacentral:rRNA from 1 species